UGUACUACUCGUGAAUCAUCGAAUCUUUGAACGCAAAUUGCACUUUUUGGCUCGCCAAAAAGUAAUGCCUGUUUGAGUAUCAUUUCUCUCUCUACCAAACGCAAGUUUCGUGUAGGUCUUGAGUGUACUACCCGUGCAAAUGGGUCACUCUAAAUGUAGUCUAGAAGUGGCGAGACGUUCAGCAUUGAAUUUGAUCUUUGACCAUGAUCUGGGCCAUUUGUGUUCAAGUCUCUCGAGACAAAGCUCACCUAUGGCAUUCAACUAGAUCAUGUGAUAUUAUUUAUUCAUUGUGUUUUGCGACCUAGAGGCAUUCACGUGCCGCAAAUAAGACAAUGACAGUCGUCUGCGUCUUUAAAUCUUGAUCUCAAAUCAGGUAGGAUCACCCGCUGAACUUAAGCAUAUCAAUAAGCGGAGG
rnacentral:rRNA from 1 species